CUAUGGCCAAAUCUCCUACUAUAAACUGAAUAAAACCAAAACACAAGCGCUACCGAUUAAUCUACCAACACAACUAACACAACAACUACGCCUUACAUUACAUUCGACUGGAGACAAAAUUAUAUAACCUAACUAGGAGUAAAUUUAACACUACACAGACAGAACAUGCUGUCCCUUAAUUACACACCAAUUACACAUACAAAAUGGAAAGAUGUUAAACUGUCAUGGUUGGG